GAUGAACGCUAGCGGAACGCCUAACACAUGCAAGUCGAACGGGUCUUGUUUUGUAGCAAUACAAGGUAAGAUUAGUGGCAAACGAGCGAGUAACGCGUACUUAAUCUGCCCAAAAGUUGAGAACAACUAUAGAGAUGUAGCUAAUUCUCAAUAUGCUCACGAUGGUGAAAUCCCGAUGUGAGGAAAGAUUUAUCGCUUUUGGAGGAGGGUGCGUCCUAUCAUGGUAGUUGGUAAGGUAAUGGCUUACCAAGCCUUUGACGGGUAGCCGGUCUGAGAUGAUGUCCGGCCGCGAUGGAACUGAGAGACGGUCCAUACUCCUACGGGAGGCAGCAGUGGGGAAUCUUGCACAAUGGGCGAAAGCCUGAUGCAGCGAUUCCGCGUGGAGGAUGAAGCAUUACGGUGUGUAAACUCCUUUUUUGGUGGAAGACGAAUGACGGUACACCAAGAAUAAGGGACGGCUAACUACGUA
rnacentral:rRNA from 1 species